ACACCUUUGAGAGUAACUGUUCAAGGGUUGACGGUAUUUAACCAGAAAGCCACGGCUAACUACGUGCCAGCAGCCGCGGUAAUACGUAGGUGGCAAGCGUUGUCCGGAUUUAUUGGGCGUAAAGCGAGCGCAGGCGGUUUUUUAAGUCUGAUGUGAAAGCCUUCGGCUUAACCGGAGAAGUGCAUCGGAAACUGGGAAAAUUGGAUUCCAGAAGGGGCCAGUGGGACUCCAUGGGAGGGGGGGAAAGGGGUAGAUAUAGGGAGGAACCCCAGGGGCGAAGGCGGCUGUUUAGUCUGUAACUGGCGGUGGGGCUGGAAAGCAUGGGUGGGGAACAGGAUUAGAUACCCUGGUAGUCCAUGCGGUAAACGAUGAGUGUUAAGUGUGGGAGGGUUUCCGCCCUUCAGUGGUGCAGCUAACGCAUUAAGCACUCCGCCUGGGGAGUACGACCGCAAGGUUGAAACUCAAAGGAAUUGACGGGGGCCCGCACAAGCGGUGGAGCAUGUGGUUUAAUUCGAAGCUACGCGAAGAACCUUACCAGGUCUUGACAUCUUCUGCCAAUCUUAGAGAUAAGACGUUCCCUUCGGGGACAGAAUGACAGGUGGUGCAUGGUUGUCGUCAGCUCGUGUCGUGAGAUGUUGGGUUAAGUCCCGCAACGAGCGCAACCCUUAUUAUCAGUUGCCAGCAUUCAGUUGGGCACUCUGGUGAGACUGCCGGUGACAAACCGGAGGAAGGUGGGGAUGACGUCAAAUCAUCAUGCCCCUUAUGACCUGGGCUACACACGUGCUACAAUGGACGGUACAACGAGUCGCGAAGUCGUGAGGCUAAGCUAAUCUCUUAAAGCCGUUCUCAGUUCGGAUUGUAGGCUGCAACUCGCCUACAUGAAGUUGGAAUCGCUAGUAAUCGCGGAUCAGCAUGCCGCGGUGAAUACGUUCCCGGGCCUUGUACACACCGCCCGUCACACCAUGAGAGUUUGUAACACCCAAAGCCGGUGAGAUACCUCGGAUCAGCGUAAGGUAUU
rnacentral:rRNA from 2 species